rnacentral:tRNA from 1 species
GGGGCUAUAGCUCAGUUGGUAGAGCGCUUCGUUCGCAACGAAGAGGCCAGGGGUUCGAAUCCCCUUAGCUCCA